CUGUUAAUGUUAAGUUGGUCAUGUGGGUGAACCAAAUAUUGGGCGGGUUUAAGCUCUUGGCCUUUUCUCUCUGUUUUCCACGUAGAGUUGUGAGGUUUCUUCUUCUACUUACUAAGUUUUUCUUUGGUUUCUCCGGACCGGCAUUGCCGCCACCACAAUUACCACCAGCAGCUAUACCUUCAUCUACUUCUCCUUCUCGAGGAGCAAAAAUGAUUCGAAGUUAACCACACAUCUUCUCAUCUUUUAGUUGAUUUCAGUUGGUCAUGAAGGGAUUUGCUAGGUACAAAUUAGGGGAGGAAAACAUUUCUAGCUAGAUGUCUCAGCAGCUUGGUUUUUCGAGGCAAAUCAGGCUCCAAAGGAAGCUUCUCAAUAAGGAUGUUGAGAAGUCAUUUAGAAGGCAGCUCAGGAAAUGUGAUAGUCAUUUGUAUACGUUUCCGGUUAGUAGCUUUUUUGGUCUCUUUAAACAAUACAUAAAGGGUUAUUAUGGGACUAUGUCGCCGAUUUAGGUAUUGGUAGACAAAUUCGGCCUGACCGAUAUAGUGGUGCAAGACGGCAAGUAAGAGAGGACAUGGAUGACACUGAAAAUAUAGUACUGCUCAUUGGAGAUGGUAAUUUAUCACCGAAAGGAUAGUUUACACAUGGAGAAAGACACAGCAGCAUAGUGCGGAAGAUUCCCAAAAUUGCAUUUGAGUGCAGUUUACAUAGUUUGACUGGAUAAUCUGGACUAUUAAUAUAAUAAAACAAAAGGGAAAAGCGCUUUCAACUUGGAUGUCACUACAUGAAACUGGAUAGUAUUGUCCAAUUGGCUACCUGUAGGAGUUGUUUAAGAGAAUAUUUUCUCAACAUGAUAUGUACGUAUGGUGACCUACAGUAUUUUAACUGGAUGAUCUGGAUUAUUAGUAUAAUAAAACAAAAGUGACUCCCUACUACAGUGAGUAGACAAUAUAUUCUAAAUGUGACCUCAGCUGGAGAAUGAGAAUGGUGUAUUCGUCAUAUAUUACUUGCAAAAAAAAAAUCUUAUCAGAUGAACAAAAUAACUUCGUGGAAAUGCUCAUUCUCCUGAAGUCUGGGUAACAAAGAGAAGAUUGUGCAUCUUCGCCGUCUUUUAAGCAGACAAACAAUGUUCGUAACUAUAUUACUGGAUGUGCUUUUCAUGGGUAGGUUUGAUGUGGUGGUAAAUGGUGAAUGCUCUCUAAGUCUUCACAAUAACAAACGAGAGAAUAGGUAGCAGGAUCCUGUGUGCGACAGAGAUAUGUUACUUCUUGAAAAAGUACAUAAACGAGAAUUCUCAACCAGGGACAAUCAGAGGUUGAAUUGGAGCUGAGGUCGUAAGAAGCAUUUGAAAUAUAUCCUCUGGCCAAAUUUCAUGGUACGUUGCAGAUGUAUAUCUCUUAUUUGCUGCAUACAGUUCAGUUGACUUGCAAUUUAGAUUAUUCCAUCUUUUAUUUUUAUGUAAUAUUAUGUCAGAGUAUUGUGUGUGACUUGGAUACCUUAUUCGAGUGAACGACUCAGGUGGCAGAGCUCAGUGCGACACUAACAUGAGAUAUUUGAAUCUACCAACUCCAAUGAAGAUCUAUAAUUGUUAUAGUAUAAUGGGUAACACAAUUGAAGUAUUUACUAUUGGAAUUUCUGUUUUGGUUAAUAACAAUUUUUAAUUGAUUUUAAAAUCCACAGACAGAUGUUGUUUGGUUGCAUUUAGUCUCUAGCUAUUAUACUUUGCUUGCCCAGCUAUUUUUUGUUUGUAAAAGCAGAAAACCGCAGUUCUACAAAGUAAUGGCCUUCAUUUGAGAUAUUCUGUCGUACACCUAAUUUGGCAUCUUUUUUACAUGGCUUUCAUUGGUACAAUCUGAAAUUUUACACCUUUGAGGCAGAAAUUACAAUCUAAGUUGAACAUUCAUUCAAACUGGAGGUUCAAAUCACUGAGGUAACAUCUGAUUUUUUCUUCUUUGCUCUCUUGCCACCCAUGUAAGUAGAUCUCUUUACAUGAGUAGGAAAAAAUAGAUUUACCAAUUCGAUUUUACUUCUUCAUUGGUUUUUCUGAAACUAAAGAUGUGAAUGUUAAAUGCUUUUGUAGUUUUAGUUCAAUUGAAUUGAUGGGUAAAUUUAUUUUUUCGGGGUAUAAAUGUGCCGAAAUGGAUAGUAUGCCUGCUGCUAUAUUCCUUUGAAUAAUGUGAUUGAUGUUGAUAUCAUAUGCAGUCUAGCAUAUCACAGUUUUAUCACUAUGUGAUAAGAUUGUCGGUACUAAAGCUACAUUAGUGGAGGGAGUCAUGACCCAUAGGUUUUGGUGGCUUCUCUACUUAACUAUGAACAUCUUGGGAAAGAGGUUUAUUAGCGAGUCGCUCUUAACUCAGUUUCAGCCUUUACUCUGAUUGUUUCUUAGUUAUAUACAGGGGUCAUACAUCUAACCUCCCUCUCUUACAUUUUUGUGUUAUAUACCCUUGCAUCUCAUUAUUUUUCAGGCGGAAUCCAAUAUAGCUGUGGAAUACUGAGUAAUGAGCAUGAAGAUUCGUGAUUUUCUUAAAUUUAUUAUUAAUAAUAAUGCAAUCUUGAAACAAUGUGGUAGUAGUUAUUCUUAUGUAAGAAUAUCUUUACCUUUUAUGACCUCGAGUAGCUGAUAAUUGCAGCUCAUAUCCUUGCACGUUUUGCAUUAUUGAUUUGGUUCCCCUUAAUUAGAAUACGUAAGAAACUAUAUGAAUCUCAUCUGAAAUCUGCCAUGCGAGAGGCCCAACAGUAGACCUCCAGGAUCAUAUGGUGGAAAAUCAAGUGUUGCUGAAAAGUCGCAGUGAUCCAGAAGCAUGUAUUUUAGUCCAGAUUGAGUUCGUGUUAGAGGCAGGGUCUCCGGCUUUCAAUGCAGUUUCUGCUACGUUGAAGAGCUCUAAUGUAGAAGUCUCUUUAUUCCACCUCCAACACUUAGAAAGAUCUAUCCGAAGUCUGUUACCCCUGGAUAUAGCAACAUUCACAGCUUCAACUGACACCAACAAGUGCUCCAUCUAGAAUUCUUAAACCUAAACGAGUUGAUGUUGAUACCAUUUCAGUUUUAUUUGUGUAAUCAAUAUAAAUUGUUUACUCUUCUGACUUUUCUUUCUGAUGCCAUGUUACAAAUGCAGCUACACUCCAAGCAAGUUAGAGAGAAAUUCAGACAAGAACCCUCAAAAGCAAGUUAGAGAGAAUCAGAAGAUGAACAGCUCAGGCUUCACAGGCCUGAUUCGCAGAUAUAUAUGCUCAGGCUUCCGCUUCAUAAUAUCACUGAGAUAGUCAUUCAAGUGCUACCCCUGCAAAAAAAAAGGAGUUGUAAGAAGUAGCUACCUACAAUAGUUGUGAGCGCGAACAGAUUUAUUGGUUUGUUGGUCUUUGCAUCUCAAUAUAUCCAGGGGCCAGUGAUAAAUGCCAGAAAGAGAGAAGAAAGAUAAUUGAUGGGGUUGAUUUCCAACAUGUUCCCCUUAAUGAAUACAAGCAGAACAUGCAGUCAAUAGUCUCCUUCAUUAAGGAAUAAUAAAACUCUGACAGACGGGGAAAAAUAUACUUUGGCUGAAUUACACAUUCAGACAACAUUAAUUGCUACAAUAUAAGAAAGCUUAAAAUGGGAAAUGUUUCGUGACAAGGGGGUAAUGGGACCGUGGAUGCCGAGGAAGCGUGAUAUUGGGGAUUCUAUGACUUUGACUAAUAUCCAUCAGGAUCUAUCAUAGGUGCAUUCUAAGGAUGAGAAACAGGUGUUGCGUUAGCAUGUUGAAGUCUGUUGUCCAGUCUGAAGAGUUCCUUACAAACUCUAAAAGUUGUGUAAAAAAGUGGAUGCUGCAUUUCUCAGCUUAGCUUGAUAUAGCUAUAAUGCCCCGCAUCUCCCGUUUGACUACAUAAAUCAUCUGAAGAACCCAAGGGAAAUACGUGAAGAAGCCGAGAAUGCAUAUGAAGCAGGGUUAUAAACUUAAGAUCAUGAUAUAGAGACAAACGAUAUAGACUUUAAGAUCAUGCAUGAUGUUAGGGUUACAUGUGCAUACGAAGUAGGGUGUCAGGUACACUCUCUUCUGGAUAUCCCUUCGUGAGCAAACAAUUGGAAUUGUAUUUGUUGUCUUAGCUCAAAUGGCAGAGCAUAUGGUGUUUACCAUGUAGUUGUGGGUUCGACUCCCACAGAUAGCAUAGCUGUAUGAGUAAGCAAAAACGGUACAUGCAUUCUGAUACCCAUACAGAGAUAUAACGCGACAUAGGCAUACAUAUAAAAAACUUUUCAUCUCUA